rnacentral:tRNA from 1 species
GGUGGCUCAGUGGUAGAGUGCAUGCCUCGCAUGCAUGAGGCACUGGGUUCGAUUCCUCAGCACCA